UGGUUCUGGCAUCGAUGAAGAACGCAGCGAAAUGCGAUAAGUAAUGUGAAUUGCAGAAUUCAGUGAAUCAUCGAAUCUUUGAACGCACAUUGCGCCCGCCAGUAUUCUGGCGGGCAUGCCUGUCCGAGCGUCAUUUCAACCCUCGAACCCCUCCGGGGGGUCGGCGUUGGGGAUCGGCCCUCCCUUAGCGGGUGGCCGUCCCCGAAAUACAGUGGCGGUCUCGCCGCAGCCUCUCCUGCGCAGUAGUUUGCACACUCGCAUCGGGAGCGCGGCGCGUCCACAGCCGUUAAACACCCAACUUCUGAAAUGUUGACCUCGGAUCAGGUAGGAAUACCCGCUGA
rnacentral:misc_RNA from 1 species